rnacentral:rRNA from 1 species
GACGAACGCUGGCGGCGUGGAUUAGGCAUGCAAGUCGAACGGUAUCAUCCCUUCGGGGGUGAGAGAGUGGCGAACUGGUGAGUAACGCGUAGGUUAUCUACCCUCAAGACGGGGACAACCCAGGGAAACUUGGGCUAAUACCGGAUGUGAGCAACUUUUAGUUGUUUGAAAGGUGGCGUAAGCUGUCGCUUGGGGAUGAGCCUGCGUCCUAUUAGUUAGUUGGUGAGGUAACGGCUCACCUAGGCAAUGAUAGGUAGGCGGCCUUAACGGGUGGUCGCCCACACUGGGAUUGAGAUACGGCCCAGACUCCUACGGGAGGCAGCAGUCGAGAAUAGUCUACAAUGGUCGGAAGACUGAUAGUGCGACGCCGCGUGAACGAUGAAUCCCCGUUCGGGGGUAGUUAAAGUUUCUUUUAUAUUGUGAGCAGUGCUUUCUUAUAUUAACAGUAGUGGGGAGAGAGAUAUUAGCAUAUAGAAUAAGCAACGGCUAACUCCGUGCCAGCAGCCGACGGUAAA